GGAAGUAAAAGUCGUAACAAGGUCUCCGUAGGUGAACCUGCGGAGGGAUCAUUACACAAAUAUGAAGGCGGGCUGGAAUCUCUCGGGGUUACAGCCUUGCUGAAUUAUUCACCCUUGUCUUUUGCGUACUUCUUGUUUCCUUGGUGGGUUCGCCCACCACUAGGACAAACAUAAACCUUUUGUAAUUGCAAUCAGCGUCAGUAACAAAUUAAUAAUUACAACUUUCAACAACGGAUCUCUUGGUUCUGGCAUCGAUGAAGAACGCAGCGAAAUGCGAUAAGUAGUGUGAAUUGCAGAAUUCAGUGAAUCAUCGAAUCUUUGAACGCACAUUGCGCCCUUUGGUAUUCCAAAGGGCAUGCCUGUUCGAGCGUCAUUUGUACCCUCAAGCUUUGCUUGGUGUUGGGCGUCUUGUCUCUAGCUUUGCUGGAGACUCGCCUUAAAGUAAUUGGCAGCCGGCCUACUGGUUUCGGAGCGCAGCACAAGUCGCACUCUCUAUCAGCAAAGGUCUAGCAUCCAUUAAGCCUUUUUUCAACUUUUGACCUCGGAUCAGGUAGGGAUACCCGCUGAACUUAAGCAUAUCAAUAAGCGGAGGAAUCUUG
rnacentral:rRNA from 1 species